rnacentral:rRNA from 1 species
AAGGUAUGAUGAUUAAUUGGAGUUUCUAGUUCAUUUACUUUGAGAAAAAUUAGAGUGUUUUAAAAGCAGCCUCUUGGGGCACUGAAUACAUUAGCAUGGGAUAAUAAAAUAGGAUCUUCACAAUAUAUUUUAUUGGUUUAAAUUGGAUAUGAAGAUAAUGAUUAAUAGGGACAGUUGGGGGUAUUCAUAUUGGGUGGUUAGCGGUGAAAUGCUCGGAUCCAUUCAAGAUGAACUAAAGCGAAAGCAUUUACCAAGGAUGUUUUCAUUAAUCAAGAACGAAAGUUAAGGGAUCGAAGACGAUUAGAUACCGUCGUAGUCUUAACUAUAAACUAUGCCGACCAGGGAUAUGAGUUGUUAGGAUUACACGAAAGUGUAAUCAAUUUCUUCUUAUGGACCUUGUGAGAAAUCAUAAGUUUUUGGGUUCUGGGGGG